GAUUGAUCAAUAACAACCCACGAUCUCGAAAACACGAUCUCUGGCUUGAGAUUCUUGAAAAGACGAUCAAGAAUCUAACAUGAACUCUAGAUACCAAUUUGUUAGUGCUUGAGGCACUUUUAGUGAAAAGAGAAAGAGAGAAUAAGGAAAUGAGGAUUGUAUUACUGAAUUGAAUGAUAAAACUGAAUUACAAAGUGUCGAUUUAUA
rnacentral:lncRNA from 1 species